AACGAACGCUGGCGGCAGGCUUAACACAUGCAAGUCGAACGCUCGACCUUCGGGUCGGGAGUGGCAGACGGGUGAGUAACGCGUGGGAACGUACCCUUCGGUUCGGAAUAACCCAGGGAAACUUGGGCUAAUACCGGAUACGUCCUGGCCUGGAGACAGGGUGGGAGAAAGGUUUACUGCCGAAGGAUCGGCCCGCGUCGGAUUAGCUAGUUGGUGGGGUAACGGCCCACCAAGGCGACGAUCCGUAGCUGGUCUGAGAGGAUGAUCAGCCACACUGGGACUGAGACACGGCCCAGACUCCUACGGGAGGCAGCAGUGGGAAUAUUGGACAAUGGGCGAAAGCCUGAUCCAGCCAUGCCGCGUGAGUGAAGAAGGCCUUAGGGUUGUAAAGCUCUUUCAGCGGGGACGAUAAUGACGGUACCCGCAGAAGAAGUCCCGGCUAACUUCGUGCCANCCGCCGCGGUAAAACCUGAA
rnacentral:rRNA from 1 species